GAUUAAAAGCAGCUCUGGUUAGAAACAUUUUAUGCACUCUGGAUUAUUAUACUGGGAAUUACGAUUUUUGGAAAUUGAUAUUUUGUGUGCGUAGAUUCUGUUUGGGAUUUCUUGUUCAACAACCGGUCACGUAGUAUACUCACUAUCGCACGGUCCUACUAUCGACACGAAGCGAUGAUGGAAACUUGAUAGUGCGAUGAAGAUGAAGCAAUGUUGCGAUGAAGAUAAAUGAAUGCUAUGAUAAGGAGAUGACAAAUUACACAUGGUUCAAAUGCUGUAUCCGACCUUUAUUGUGUGCUUCAGUCGACGGUGGUCCUGGUUAAGGACAGUGAAUUAAGGAAGUACUCUACAUCGUCAUAAUGACUGGCUUCCAUUUAAAAAAAGAUGAAAAUGUAAAUAUCAGCAAUAUUUGUCUAUUCAUUUCAAAUGCCAUCGCCCAGCUGAGUAGCUCAGUGGGUUAGCACGUCGACUGCUGAACUGUAGAUCGUGUGUUAAAGUCCAACAGGGGUUUAAAAAAAAUUCAGAUUGCUGUCUACUAAAACUGCAUUUUUUGACUAAAUAAAGUAAAUUUGAAUUUUUUUCAA